rfam:Nitratiruptor sp. SB155-2 genomic DNA, complete genome.
GGCCCCAUCGUCUAGCGGUUAGGACACCGCCCUUUCACGGCGGUGACGGGGGUUCGAGUCCCCCUGGGGUCG